rnacentral:rRNA from 1 species
GAAGUACCGUCAAGUCUACGGGUUGUUAACCCGCAUAUUUCGUCCUUCUCCACAGAGCUUUACGACCCGAAGGCCUUCAUCACUCACGCGGCGUGGCUGGAUCAGGCUUUCGCCCAUUGUCCAAUAUUCCCCA